GGCUCUAGCCUGAGAAAUUGCAUUUAGAAUGCUCUCGGGGAGGUCUGCAGCCUCCCAUCGAGAGGCCAGAGGGAUCUCAUCUCCAGGC